rfam:Oryctolagus cuniculus chromosome X, whole genome shotgun sequence.
AGGUCCUCAAUAAGUAUUUGUUGAAAGAAUAAAUGAACCAACAAGUCUUAUUUGAGCACCUGUUAUG